GUAGUCAUAUGCUUGUCUCAAAGAUUAAGCCAUGCAUGUCUAAGUAUAAGCAAUCAUACUGUGAAACUGCGAAUGGCUCAUUAAAUCAGUUAUCGUUUAUUUGAUAGUACCUUUACCUGGAUAACCGUGGUAAUUCUAGAGCUAAUACAUGCUAAAAACCCCGACUUCGGAAGGGGUGUAUUUAUUAGAUAAAAAACCAAUGCCCUCUGGCUCCUUGGUGAUUCAUAAUAACUUAACGAAUCGCAUGGCCUUGCGCCGGCGAUGGUUCAUUCAAAUUUCUGCCCUAUCAAUUUUCGAUGGUAAGAGUAGUGGUCUACCAUGAUCUUAACAGGUAACGGGGAAUUAGGGUUCUAUUCCGGAGAAGGAGCCUGAGAAACGGCUACUACAUCCAAGGAAGGCAGCAGGCGCGCAAAUUACCCAAUGCUAAUUCAGCGAGGUAGUGACAAUAAAUACUGAUACGGGGCUCUUUCGGGUCUCGUAAUUGGAAUGAGUACAAUCUAAAUCCCUUAACGAGGAACAAUUGGAGGGCAAGUCUGGUGCCAGCAGCC
rnacentral:rRNA from 1 species